rnacentral:rRNA from 1 species
GACAGAGGGGGCAAGCGUUGCUCGGAAUCACUGGGCGUAAAGGGCGCGUAGGCGGGAUGGCAAGUCGGUCGUGAAAUCCCUGGGCUCAACUGCAGGGGGUCGGCCGAGUACUGCCGUUCUUGAGGGAUGCAGAGGAGACUGGAAUUUACGGUGUAGCAGUGAAAUGCGUAGAUAUCGUAAGGAAGACCAGUGGCGAAGGCGAGUCUCUGGACAGUUACUGACGCUGAGGCACGAAGGCCAGGGGAGCAAACGGG